UCAGAGAACAAGAGCAAGAGGUUAAAAACUCAUGGGAAAGUUAGCCAGGAACGGCCCUGGAAAAAGAAGGAAGAGCAACACAGUCACUCCUAAAAAUAACAUGCUGCAACUCCCAGCUCUGCCUCCAACAAUGUUUCAUACAUUCAAGCACAUCCACUGGAAAAUGUUCCCUCUGCAAAAUCCUUAAAUAAAUACGCCAGGGGUGACAUGGUAGUGACUUAAGGCAUCCCGACGGCACGUUAAGAAACAAGCUGUUCAGAAAUCUCAGAUUUUUUUCCAGACUUCCACCAGGUUUGUGCAUUACCAAGCUUUUUAGCUGGCAAAAUCCAG